rnacentral:lncRNA from 1 species
GAAAUUCAAGUGAUCUCUCAUAUGGUCAACCUCCUACUUUCUAUCAGAUCCUGCAUUAAGGUACAUAUAUGAGCACUUGAGUCAGAGUCUAAUACCCAAGUAGAAGUAGAAGAAACCGUAAGGUUAGAUUCAAUUAUAAGCAUACUUUCAAAAGAUUUAUCAUCCUUUUUGAUCUUUAGGCUCUCCAGAUAUUUAAGACAGUUUCUCCUCCAGUGGCCUUCAGCAUAACAGUGGAAACACUUUCUCCUUGCCUCAGCC